rnacentral:rRNA from 1 species
UACAGAGGUCCCAAGCGUUGUUCGGAUUCAUUGGGCGUAAUGGGUGCGUAGGCGGCGCGGUAAGUCGGGUGUGAAAUCUCGGAGCUUAACUCCGAAACUGCAUUCGAUACUGCCGUGCUUGAGGACUGGAGAGGAGACUGGAAUUUACGGUGUAGCGGUGAAAUGCGUAGAUAUCGUAAGGAAGACCAGUGGCGAAGGCGGGUCUCUGGACAGUUCCUGACGCUGAGGCACGAAAGCGUGGGGAGCAAACAGG